GCCAGACCCAAAAGGCCUGACUGUAAAUAAGUUUUUAUUCCUCCAGCUUGAGAUCAUGACCCUGGAAUCCAGCCUUGAUUCAGAUAAGCAGGGACUAUGGAUCACCCAGACUGCCCAGUGUCAAUUCUCUUCACGGGAGGAUGAAGAUCCAGAAUAUAUGGCCUGGGAAAUGGCCACUGUUUGCAGCAGAAUCAGGAAACUUUGUGAAGAUGAAAUCAGAGAGAGCCCUGAUGUUAGGGCAAUGAGGCAAGGAGUAGGAAGCCCUCAAGUGAGGCUACAGGGCCUGUGUCUACAGGCCCCUGGUGGGGACACUGUCUCUGCACAGAGGAGAUGGUGGCCCUCUGUCCUGGAGACACAGUCAAGGAGGCUGGACUCUGAGUCAGCACUAGGUCUCCGGUGGAGCCUGGAAUGAUAAAGUCACUCAAACAACCAUUACCAGCACAUCCAACACAGACCUCUGCGUCUAAAACCCUGCCGAGUGUUAAGUGUAUACAACCCUGCCGAGUGUUAAGUGUAUCCAAUGCUGCCUACACCCUCACCUGGAACCAACAGCAGCAGCAUCCACAGCAGGGGAGCCUUGGACCCCAUCUCUGAGAGCCGACCUGCAGACCACUCCUCACAGGCC
rnacentral:lncRNA from 1 species